rnacentral:rRNA from 1 species
CCUAGGAAUCUGCCUGGUAGUGGGGGAUAACGUUCGGAAACGAACGCUAAUACGCAUACGUCCUACGGGAGAAAGCAGGGGACCUUCGGGCCUUGCGCUAUCAGAUGGCCUAGGUCGGAUUAGCUAGUUGGUGAGGUAAUGGCUCACCAAGGCGACGAUCCGUAACUGGUCUGAGAGGAUGAUCAGUCACACUGGAACUGAGACACGGUCCAGACUCACGGGAGGCAGCAGUGGGGAAUAUUGGACAAUGGGCGAAAGCCUGAUCCAGCCAGCCGCGUGUGUGAAGAAGGUCUUCGGAUUGUAAAGCACUUUAAGUUGGGAGGAAGGGCAGUUACCUAAUACGUGAUUGUUUUGACGUUACCGACAGAAUAAGCACCGGCUAACUCUGUGCCAGCAGCCGCGGUAAUACAGAGGGUGCAAGCGUUAAUCGGAAUUACUGGGCGUAAAGCGCGCGUAGGUGGUUUGUUAAGUUGGAUGUGAAAUCCCCGGGCUCAACCUGGGAACUGCAUUCAAAACUGACUGACUAGAGUAUGGUAGAGGGUGGUGGAAUUUCCUG